rnacentral:tRNA from 1 species
GCCCCAAUGGCGGAACUGGUAGACGCGCCGCACUCAAAAUGCGGUUCCGAAAGGAGUGCUGGUUCGAUCCCGGCUUGGGGUACCA